CCAGACUCCUACGGGAGGCAGCAGUGGGGAAUAUUGGGCAAUGGGCGCAAGCCUGACCCAGCAACGCCGCGUGAAGGAAGAAGGCUUUCGGGUUGUAAACUUCUUUUGACAGGGAAGAGCAGAAGACGGUACCUGUCGAAUAAGCCACGGCUAACUACGUGCCAGCAGCCGCGGUAAUACGUAGGGGGCAAGCGUUAUCCGGAUUUACUGGGUGUAAAGGGAGCGUAGGCGGUAAUGCAAGUCAGAAGUGAAAGCCCGGGGCUCAACGCCGGGACUGCUUUUGAAACUGUGUUACUAGAUUGCAGGAGAGGUAAGUGGAAUUCCUAGUGUAGCGGUGAAAUGCGUAGAUAUUAGGAGGAACACCAGUGGCGAAGGCGGCUUACUGGACAGUAAAUGACGCUGAGGCUCGAAAGCGUGGGGAGCAAACAGGAUUAGAUACCCCAGUAGCA
rnacentral:rRNA from 1 species